GACUUCUUCAGCCUUACCCUUAUAUUGUGUGGUCUUUCCGCGUUUGUCCAAGUAAUUGUUAUUAACAUCUACCACCGUGGUGACAGGAAAUGUCACAUUGGGUGAAAAGAGUGAUUUUAAAUCCUUUAUCUAAGAUAACACUAACUGAGGCACUCUGGAUGAAUAAAAGGACACAACCCGGGGAUAGAACAGAAGAUGACUACUCGGUUGAAGUUCUAGACAACACUAAAGAAUGGGAGAUGUUAUCAAUCUGUAUCGACAGAGUAGGGCUGACUGUGUUCUUAGCAACUCUAACCAUAGGAAGCAUUUCUAUUUUUGCAAAUUUCAUUGAAUGAUAAAAAAAAUGGAGUUUGUAUUCUGUCUAGAUAGUAAAGCUUCAUGUACAAAGACAAUUAUGAAA